rnacentral:rRNA from 3 species
AUGAACGCUGGCGGCGUGCCUAAUACAUGCAAGUCGAGCGAACAGACGAGGAGCUUGCUCCUCUGACGUUAGCGGCGGACGGGUGAGUAACACGUGGAUAACCUACCUAUAAGACUGGGAUAACUUCGGGAAACCGGAGCUAAUACCGGAUAAUAUAUUGAACCGCAUGGUUCAAUAGUGAAAGACGGUUUUGCUGUCACUUAUAGAUGGAUCCGCGCCGCAUUAGCUAGUUGGUAAGGUAACGGCUUACCAAGGCAACGAUGCGUAGCCG